rnacentral:rRNA from 1 species
CCUACGGGAUGCAGCAGUGGGGAAUAUUGCACAAUGGGCGCAAGCCUGAUGCAGCCAUGCCGCGUGUGUGAAGAAGGCCUUCGGGUUGUAAAGCACUUUCAGCGGGGAGGAAGGCGGUGUGGUUAAUAACCUCAUCGAUUGACGUUACCCGCAGAAGAAGCACCGGCUAACUCCGUGCCAGCAGCCGCGGUAAUACGGAGGGUGCAAGCGUUAAUCGGAAUUACUGGGCGUAAAGCGCACGCAGGCGGUCUGUCAAGUCGGAUGUGAAAUCCCCGGGCUCAACCUGGGAACUGCAUUCGAAACUGGCAGGCUAGAGUCUUGUAGAGGGGGGUAGAAUUCCAGGUGUAGCGGUGAAAUGCGUAGAGAUCUGGAGGAAUACCGGUGGCGAAGGCGGCCCCCUGGACAAAGACUGACGCUCAGGUGCGAAAGCGUGGGGAGCAAACAGGAUUAGAUACCCCUGUAGUC